GGGGUGCCAUGGGGUGGGGUGCCAUGGGGUGUCAGAGGUAGCAAGGGGAUGUCACAGAAGGGUUGCCUUGGGGGGUCACCAAGGUGCUCACCUUGUGCAGCCCCCCGACCUUGGGGACGUAGGUGACACUGUAUGUUCGCUUCUUGUCAUUGUUGGGGACCACCUUCGCCUGCGGUGGGAAGAGACCCCAAAAUUGGGGGAAGAGGGUGACACAGAGCUGGGGCACUGGGGGGGUCUCCCAGAGAGGGAGAUGGGGGGGAUACCCCUGAGGGGGGCCAGGGCCCCCUGUACCUCCUCAGUGUGUCCCUCGGGGUCCUCAACAUAGACCAGGACCUCACCCACGCCUGCCUCGAGGGUCUCCACUGUGAACUGGGCAGGGCGCAGCACCACGUUUCCCUGGGGCUCGAUGCCUGCAGGGUGGGGGGAGUCAAGGGGGGUCCCAGCCCCCCAAAACCCCCCAGGGUUUGGGGCCCCAGGUUGUCCUUGGUGGUAGCAGUGGGUCCAGAGUAUCAAUGGUGGUCUCCUGAGUAUGGGCAGGGGAGUCUGAUAGGCCUUUGGGGAGUCUCUGUGCAUAGCGGGACUUUUGGGGAGCCCUGGGUGGGGAGUGGAGGCCCUGGGGUUUCCCUCAGGUGUCCCUGGGCACAGGUGACACCCCAGGACUGGAGAGGAGUUCCUGGGCCUGCGGAGGCCAUGGUUUACUCUCGUGCCCUGAGAGCCAUAGCCCCCAGACACCCUCUUGUGCUGACAAGCCCCCCAAGUCCCCGCUCCGUGCCCCUUUUGUUCCCACCUGUGCCAGGUCCCCAGCCCCCCGGUGCCCCUCAAACCUCCACCCCCUCCUGCCCCCCCCGGGACCCCAGCUGCCCACGGCCCCUCAGCCCCCGUACCGGGCCCGUAGGCCCGCGCGCGGCCGGGCUCGGGGAGACGGGGGCGCACGGGGGCCCCCGGCCGGAGCUUGGCCUUGGGGAACUGGGACAGGUACGUCAUCACCGAGUGCUCGUCCACGUUGGGGUCCACGAUCUCCUCGGCUCUCCCGGCGCUGCCUCAUAAGUAGAGUUCAUCCUGGAGGGCUCAGGGGGUCCUCGAUGGGCACGGGGGUCCCUGGGUGGUGUGGAGGUUCCUGAGUGGGUUGGGGGGGAGCCCUGGGUCACUUCUGGUAGUGGGCGGGGGUCGUGGGUCAGUCCAGUGUCCUGAAGGGAUCCUGGCACCGUGGGUGUGGGUCCCAAGUCGGUGCCGGUGUCCUGUGGGUGCCCGGGGUGGGGUUCUGGGUCCCGGUGGCAAAGCUGGCGCUGGGGGCCGGUGUCCUGGGUUGGGGCCGGUGUCCUGGGUCAGAGCUGGUGUCCCGGGCGGGGCCCUGGGUGGGUGCUGGUGCCCGCUAUGGGGUCCCGGUGCUGGGAGAUUCCGUCCUGGGUCGGUCCCGGUUCCUGGGUGGGUGUCUGUGUCCUGGAUGAGGUCCCAGUUCCCGGCGAUGGGGGACGGUGCCCUCGGUCAGUCCCGGUGCCCAGAGAGGGUCCCGGUCCCCGGGGUCAGGACGGGUGCCUGAGGACGGGGUCCCGUCUCAGUGCCGGUGUCCCGAGAGGGGUUCGCUGCUCGGUACUGGUGUCCUAGCUAGGGUUCCCUGUUCCCGGGGACGGGGGCUGGUGUCCCGGGUCCGUCCCGGUGCAAGUUCCCGGUGGUGGGGUUGGUUCCCGGUGGGUUCCCGGAGCGGAGCGGCGGGUCCCGGAGGGCUGGGGGGUCCGGUAGGUUCCCGGGUCGGUUCCCGCUUAGUUCCCGGAGCGGCGUUCGCGGCGAGCUCCCGUGUGUUCGCGAAGCGUCCCAGGAGCGUUCCUGGGCCAGGGGCGACGGCGGCAAGUGGCGGGGCCGGGGGCGGCGGCGGCUUUAAGCGCUGCCCCGGCCCGGCCCGCCCCGUCCCGGGGAGGGACCGAGCAGGAGGGACGGAAAGACCGCCCGACCGGCCGGGGGUGGGGGGCCCGGCCGUCGCUAUUUACAGCCCCGGCCUCACACCCGGAGCCCCAGACACCGGCCACCCCCAAGAUCGCCGGACUUCGGUGCUCC
rnacentral:lncRNA from 1 species